AUUGAACGCUGGCGGCAUGCCUUACACAUGCAAGUCGAACGGCAGCACGGGAGCAAUCCUGGUGGCGAGUGGCGAACGGGUGAGUAAUAUAUCGGAACGUGCCCAGUCGUGGGGAGUAACGCAGCGAAGACUGUGCUAAUAACCGCCAUACGAUCUCUGGAGUGAAGACGGGGACGUCGCAAGAGCCUCGCGCGAUUGGAGCGGCCGAUAUCAGAUUAGCUAGUUGGUGGGGUAAAAGGACCCACCAAGGCGACGAUCUGUAGCUGGUCUGAGAGGACGACCAGCCACACUGGAACUGAGACACGGUCCAGACUCCUACGGGAGGCUG
rnacentral:rRNA from 1 species